GAUGAAGAACGCAGCGAAAUGCGAUAAGUAAUGUGAAUUGCAGAAUUCAGUGAAUCAUCGAAUCUUUGAACGCACCUUGCACCCUUUGGUAUUCCGAAGGGUAUGCUCGUUUGAGUGUCAUUGUACUCUCACACUUCUAAUUCCUUUCGGGAUUGGGAGCGGUGGACUUGGGUGUUGCUGCUUUAGUUGUGGCUCACCUCAAAUAAGUUAGUGCAUCUCUUGGUUGGACAUAGUACGGCGUGAUAAGUGUCUUCGCCGGCGCCUCUGUAAGGAGGGUGGCCGAUCGGGAGCUCUGUGCUUCAAACCGUCUUCGGACAAUCUUUGACAACUUGACCUCAAAUCGAGUAGGACUACCCGCUGAACUUAAGCAUAUCAAUAAGCGGAGGA
rnacentral:misc_RNA from 1 species